rnacentral:tRNA from 1 species
GCCUGUCUGGCUCAGUUGGUAGAGCAUGCGACUCUUGAUCUCGGGGUUGUGAGUUCAAGCCUCAGGUUGGGCA